rnacentral:rRNA from 1 species
CUGAAUAACUACGCUGAUCGCACGGUCUCGUACCGGCAACAUAUCCUUCAAGUGUCUGCCUUAUCAACUUUCGAUGGUAGUUUAUAUGACUACCAUGGUUGUAACGGGUAACGGAGAAUAAGGGUUCGACUCCGGAGAGGGAGCCUGAGAAACGGCUACCCCAUCCAAGGAAGGCAGCAGGCGCGCAAAUUACCCACUCUCAGAACGAGGAGGUAGUGACGAAAAAUAACGAGACAGUUCUCUAUGAGGUCUGUCAUCGGAAUGGGUACAAUCUAAACCCUUUAACGAGGAUCUAUUGGAGGGCAAGUCUGGUGCCAGCAUCCGCGGUAAUUCCACCUCCAAUAGCGUAUAUUAAAGUUGUUGCGGUUAAAAAG